UACGAGUGCCUCGAGCGUUAUCCGGAAUUAUUGGGCGUAAAGGGUGUGUAGGCGGCGAUGUUAGUCUCCCGUUAAAUCUUUCGGCUCAACCGAGAGGCUGCGGGGGAAACGGCAUUGCUACGAGGACGGAAGAGGUCUCUGGAACUCAUGGUGUAGCGGUGAAAUGCGUUGAUAUCAUGGGGAACACCAAAAGCGAAGGCAAGAGACUGGUCCGCUCCUGACGCUGAAACACGAAAGCGUGGGUCGCGAAUGGG
rnacentral:rRNA from 1 species